UCCCUGAUAGCUCAACUGGUAAAGAAUCUGCUUGCAAAGGAGGAGACCCAGGUUCAAUCCCUGGGUUGGGAA
rnacentral:tRNA from 1 species